UUAGAAGAAAAAACACGCAAGCUCCUGAGCUCCCACCCUCCCUUCCGAAGUCUGCUGCUACCUGACAGCAGGAGACCCAGUAAUCCAAGUUCCCUUUCAUCUGACAUGGAACCCAUGGACUGGAGGAAAGCUGAUAUAAUUCUAAUAUUUAAAAAGAAAUUACAUCUCAUCCUGGCAGUUAUAGGCCUGUAAGUUGGACAUUUGUUGUGUACAAGUUAUUGUGGUGUACAUAGAUUUUUGAAGCACUGCAUGAAUCAUUUGUUUUUAAUCCAAAAUCUUCUUGUAUGCGGGUAGAAAGACUGGCUAAAGGAUUUUGUACAGAAGACAGUGGCAUAACUACCUGGAGGCACUGAACAUGUCUCUGCCGUGGACAACGGCACAAAUUGCCAGGUACAGUGUGCAACUAGGUCAUUAGGUAGAGGUAAGGUGGGGUUGUAUAGUACCUCUCUGUACAAAAUACAUUAAUUUGUCAAUCUCAUCUGCUAUUUCAUUAUGUCCUGGCCCUCUCUAGUAAUACAGUAUAUCUAAGUUAAAAAGAUAUUGGCAGUGUUUUAGCUUCUUAAGUUUUAGCCUUUAUUUCACACAAAAUGGUAAACAUACAUUAAAAAGUGAGUAGAAAGAUGAAUUUUCUUGCUUGGCGAUAGGCUUGCCUGGAUAGUAUUGUCUGUAUACACAGCAGCAGUGAACACAGUAGGUCUUAUUGGCAUUAGUCUGCUAUAGAUUCUCUCACUUUAUGCCAUAACCUGUCACAGUCUUUAGAGGCAAAUAGGUAAGAUCUUUAGGUAAGAGGAUGUUUAAUGUAUACACCCAUUUAUUGUACAACACUGCCAUAUAUGUUAGUGCUUUAUAAAUAUGUGUUAAUAAUUAUAAAAGGGUAUUUGUGGUUUAUCUAAACUGCAGAGAUAACAAUGAAAACAAACUUCUCCAUUUUCCAAGAACUCCUUUCCUAGUCGCUUUCAGUGCAUGCUCUACAAAUUGGCAUAAUGCAAUAUAUGCCAAUAAAACUUACGCUUUAAGUAAAUGACCAGGACCACUGGAUGUUUUGUGCGAACCAAAUAAACUUCUUUAUUAACUCCCAGGCAGUUUUUGUGCCGGCAAUCUCAGUAAUGACACACACUAAUCGCACAUGAAUGAUCAGAGUUAGCAUCCAGUAUCAUAUAACACACCUCUCUGGAUGAUGAGGUGUCACAAAUGCCCAAGUGGCCUUAUCCCCAGUAUAGGCGAUCCACAGGUGGGGUCUUGCUCCCUGGCACACUACCUGCCGCUGAGCUCGCCCACUUGCACCCCUACACUAGCGGUCUAACCACCGCAGGAUGCUAACCCCUCUGACCUCCUCAGUGGGGCAAUCAACUGCCCAGCUAACUUACCUAACAAGUCCAGUUGCUUUAGAUUUAUUUAUACUAGAUAUUCCCCUAAACCUAACUUUCACUCCUAAAGUGACUACUUUAGAAGCUAACCCUCACUCUAACUUGAACUUGCUGUUACCCAGACCUGUAACCACUUCCCAGUGAGGUCCCAGAAAAGACCUUAAGCACAUGUGGGCUUUCCCUUUUAUAAUGAAGUCCCUUGCCACUUCCUGGGCAAUUUUAGAGAUGCAGGGGAGUAAACCAGAGAAGGGAAAUCCAGUUCACACAAACUAGGACUACCUUUCUUUACCAAGUAUACAAUGUUGCAUGGUGCAGCAUUCUUCCAGCAGGUGGUGGGCCGAAAUCUAUCCUCUGCCCCACCCUGUCAUGAAAUUAGUGUGCUCCAAUUUCUCCUCUUUCUGACAUGCAUCACUUAUUUAUAUACUUGUGACCGCACUGCCCCCUUGUGAUGUCAGAAAGGGUUAGGCACAGAUAUAUAUGUAAUGACGCCAUACUGGAUUGAUUUAGAACAGGGUGAAUUAGGGUUGGAAGCAGACUGACUUUUUGUUGACCUGCACAUCACCAAUACACAAGGGAGCACUUCCUAUUAAUUUACUUGUAUUUUAGUGACUGUAUAUUUUCUCCGUUUUACAGACAAUGCAUACUUUUAAAAGAAUUAAAUCUGAAUCAGUCUUUAUGGCUGACGUACAAUGUUUUGUGAUUGUGAUUUCCUGCCGUUUUCAUACAUCCAUGCUGCAUGUUGUGAGAUGUUCUUUAUUAUUAACCUUGUCACCGCUUGCAUAUGUCUUCAUUUAUGUCUUCAUUUCUACAAAAUCUAUAAUAUACCAUAUUAACCUAUUUUAUUCUUUCAUUGUCUACAAGCAAUAGUUACAAACUAGUAACAAAACCUGCAUAAAAUGUGUUUCCAGAAA